rnacentral:rRNA from 1 species
UACGGAGGAUCCGAGCGUUAUCCGGAUUUAUUGGGUUUAAAGGGUGCGUAGGCGGUUUGAUAAGUUAGAGGUGAAAUGUCGGGGCUCAACCCCGAAACUGCCUCAAAUACUGUUGGACUAGAGAAUAGUUGCGGUAGGCGGAAUGUAUGGUGUAGCGGUGAAGUGCUUAGAGAUCAUACAGAACACCGAUUGCGAAGGCAGCUUACCAAACUAUAUCUGACGUUGAGGCACGAAAGCGUGGGUAUCGAACAGG